rnacentral:rRNA from 1 species
UACGUAGGGGGCAAGCGUUGUCCGGAUUUAUUGGGCGUAAAGAGCGUGUAGGCGGCUGGGUAGGUCCGUUGUGAAAACUCGAGGCUCAACCUCGAGACGCCGAUGGAAACCCCCCAGCUAGAGUCCGGAAGAGGAGAGUGGAAUUCCUGGUGUAGCGGUGAAAUGCGCAGAUAUCAGGAGGAACACCGGUGGCGAAGGCGGGACUCUGGGCCGAUACUGACGCUGAGGAGCGAAAGCGUGGGGAGCGAACAGG